rnacentral:rRNA from 1 species
GACGAACGCUGGCGGCGCGCUUAACACAUGCAAGUCGAGCGAAGCGGCGGACGGGUGAGUAACACGUGAGUAACCUGCCUUAGACAUUGGGAUAGCCUCGGGAAACCGGGAUUAAUACCAAAUGGUCUAAGAUGGACUCGCGUCCCAUUAGCUGGUUGGUGAGGGAACGGCCCACCAAGGCGACGAUGGGUAGCCGGCAAGAGAGAGAGAACGGACACCUUGAAGCGAGGAAGCGGUGCGAACUCUGCGGAAGGCGGCAGUGGCGAAUAUUGCACAGUGGAGGGAGUUCAGAUGCUGCGCGGCCGGGAGAGCAAAGAAGGCUUUGAGGUCGUAAAGUUAUUUUAUAUGGGGAGCGGUACCAUAAGAAAAAGCCCCGGCUAACUACGUGCCAGCAGCCGCGGUAAUAC